UCCACCAUAAUAGCAAGGCCCCCCACCAACGCCAUGAUAGCAUUCCGUGCAACAGCAUCCGAUGGGGGGAUAAGCCAUUGGUGGUGGAGGACAAGGUUCUGGAACCUUUGGUGGUGGUGGUGGUGGUGGUUCUUUUGGUUUCUCAGGUUCCUUAGGCUUUUCGGGUUCUUUCGGCUUUUCGGGUUGUUUCGGUUUCUCGGGUUCUUUGGGUUUUUCGGGUUCUUUCGGCUUUUCGGGUUGUUUAGGUUUCUCGGGUUCUUUGGGUUUUUCGGGUUCUUUUGGUUUUUCUGGUGCUUUAGGCUUUUCGGGUUCUUUUGGUUUUUCUGGUACUUUAGGCUUCUCAGGUUCUUUGGGUUUUUCAGGUUCUUUGGGCUUUUCGGGUUCUUUAGGCUUCUCAGGCUCCUUGGGUUUGGGAGGAGGAGGUGGAGGUUUGAUCUCAAUGCUCUUGAUUGAUCCAGCACCCUUGCAACAUAUCUUGUCCCUCAGCUUCUCAGGAUUGCAGCAUACCACGGUAAUGGUCACGGUGUUGGUUUUCUCAUCGUAUAUCUGGUCUCGUAUUUCUCUUGUUCGCAAAAACCCAUCAUCAAAAAAUUAUCAACUUAAACCAGUUCACACUUCACUGUCUUCAG
rnacentral:lncRNA from 1 species